rnacentral:lncRNA from 1 species
GCCUCCGUUUCUUGCCUAUAUUAUGGGAUGCAGGACGAGAUGACCUCCGAGACCACCCCUGGCCUUAACGUUCUGCAUGUCUGUGAUUGGGCCUCAGCGUUCAUCUUCCUCCUGGAUCUUUGAUUCAAUCGGGAUGAGUCAGGCACUGACAGCCGCCUUGGGCCCUGAGCGCCUGCUCGGAGAGCAGUGCCAGGGCCCAGAAGAUCAGCUCAGAUCCUUGCUGGGUCACAUGCGUGGGUGUCAGCACUUCCUGCCUAGACUUUUCCCUUUGACUCAUGCUUCUCUUGUGUUCGGGAUCCCUGUUCCUCAGCCUUGUUCAUCUGGAAAGACAGCCGAGGAGGCCGCCCCGAGGAUCCUGCAGAACUGAGCUGCCGGAACCAGCCCACACGGCUCCCAGGACUCACCUGCGUCUCAGCUGUCAGAGGAGGAAGUGGGAGCCAAAGUCGGUCUCACAGCCCAAGCCUGGAGGGCAGGGCGGCAAGUGUGGGAGGGGACUGGAGGCUGCAGUAGCAGUGCCAGGUGGCAUGGUGCUGGGAGGGGCCACAGGGAGGCUGCCACCUGCCGGCCACAUGAGGGAUGGCUUUGAUAGCAGCCGCACAGGGCGUGAGUGGCCACAGGGCUAGAGGCUAGAGAACUGACAGGACCUGGCAGGUGUGGGACAGUCACUCUGCAGGGCCCCUGGGUGCCAUCGAGGGACACAGGGACCACAGGCUGGAUGAGGCUACAGGCCGCAUACACGGCACACUUCACGGUCAACUCUCCUUUUUAAUAGGAAGGAGCAUGUGCCAAAAUAAUGAUAAGGAGUCGAAUACAGCAGCCACGGUGGCAAAUGCCUCUAAUCUCCCCGGUUCCGGAAGCUGAGGCAGGAGGAUCCAAGUUCCAACUUAGCAAGACCCUAUCUCAAGAAAUUGAAUGACCUGACCUGGAGUCCCUUCCCACCACACUGCUGCAGGAUGCCACCAGGGGGCCCCCUGCACCUGAGUUCCUGAGGCUCACAGAGCACUGUGUAAAUGACUCCUGGUUACAGACCUUGUUGUUGUUGUUGUUGU